UACGUAGGGUGCGAGCGUUAAUCGGAAUUACUGGGCGUAAAGCGUGCGCAGGCGGCGCGUUAAGACAGGUGUGAAAGCCCCGAGCUUAACUUGGGAAUUGCGCUUGUGACUGGCGUGCUGGAGUGUGGCAGAGGGAGGUGGAAUUCCACGUGUAGCAGUGAAAUGCGUAGAGAUCGGGAGGAACAUCUGUGGCGAAGGCGACUGCCUGGACCAGCACUGACACUGAGGCACGAAAGCGUGGGGAGCAAACAGG
rnacentral:rRNA from 1 species